UGUGUAGGCGGUUCUUUAAGUUUGCUGUGAAAUCUCCCGGCUUAACCGGGAGGGUGCGGUGAAUACUGAGGGACUAGAGUACGGGAGAGGAAAGUGGAAUUCCUGGUGUAGCGGUGAAAUGCGUAGAUAUCAGGAGGAACACCGGUGGUGUAGACGGCUUUCUGGACCGACACUGACGCUGAGACACGAAAGCGUGGGUAGCAAAC
rnacentral:rRNA from 1 species